rnacentral:rRNA from 1 species
UACGUAGGGGGCAAGCGUUGUCCGGAUUUAUUGGGCGUAAAGAGCGUGUAGGCGGCUUGGUAGGUCCGUUGUGAAAACUAGAGGCUUAACCUCUAGACGUCGAUGGAAACUGUUUGGCUAGAGUCCGGAAGAGGAGAAUGGAAUUCCUGGUGUAGCGGUGAAAUGCGCAGAUAUCAGGAAGAACACCCGUGGCUAAGGCGGUUCUCUAGUACGGUACUGACGCUGAGACGCGAAAGCGUGGGGAGCGAACAGG